rnacentral:lncRNA from 1 species
UUUUUAUACCUGCCAAACUCGGAAAUAAAAAUAUGUACAAAAUAUUUAUCAUAAAUAUUUUUCCUUCUUAUAAUAUUUAAAAUAUUUUAUAAAUAUUUUAUAAAUAUUUUGUGCUAUCUGGGUUACAUUGCGCAUAGCGCCCUCUAAAGGCGCCAUUCAAGCGAAAUAUUGCACACAAAUUCUAUUUGACAAGACUUUUUGAACAAUAUAUAACACAUAUCCAUUCGCGAUUAACACUUGGUGCACUUCCUUUGUAAGACAUUUUGAUUUUUUUGUUUUAAAUAAAUAGAACGAGAGCUAUUCUGUACACAGAACGCCUACUUCGGCAGCAAGGCGCUAGAAACAUUGUGUCAUUUUUGCAAUAAAAUGUUUAAUUUUUUUACAAAAUUAUUUUGUUCACUUUAAGAUGUAAGUAAAACGUACCCAAAGUUUGGUAAAAGAUAAUUUUUAUUAUAUUGUAACUAAAAAAAUUGAAAUUAAACUAUUUUUCGGCCUCCUAAACGAGUUUCCUUCCUCGCCUUAGUCUUUUGUUACGGCCUUCUUAUUGUUAAUAUCUGUGUAUAUUAAAAUAAAAUGCCAAACCAAUUAGAUUCAGGAUUCGUUAAAGUUGAUUCAACGAAUCUGCCAAAAAUAAAUGUAUUUAUGGUUUGAGAAUAUAUUUUUAAUGAUUAUAAAUUUUUAAAAAUAUCAUUUACACACAAAAAAUUUUUUAUUAAUUGUAAAAUAUAAUUUUCAAAUAAUUUUAGAUGUACUUUAUAAAUAAAAAGUCCUAAAUACAAUGAUAUUUAAUGUAUGAGUUUAGAUUAAGUUUAGAUUAUAUAAGAUAUUUUUACAACAAUAUAUGCGUUGUUUGAUAUUUUUAUAAAUAUUAUAAUUAAAGCAUAAAAAAUAUGUUUAUAUAAUAAUAAUAAUAUUUACAUUAAAAUAAUUUUGACAACAAAAAUAACUCUAUUUUCCUAUUUUAUCAGUACAAUUAUGGGCACUUUUAAACCACUUUUUUCUCAUGCUUUCUGCUUGAGGCCUAUAAAAGAAUAACUUAUGUGAUAUUUUAAUUGUACUUUUACAUAAAGAUACAAAACACGUUUUAUAUGUGCUCUUUUUGCUUAUUUUUAAGAUAAAUGAAUAUUUUAAUACAUAAAAAAUAGUUUGGGUAUUGUAGUGUGACGUCAUAGAACGUUCGAGAGGACUCAUACUGUAUUCGGUGAUUUCCAUGAGAAAAAAAUACAAUUAAUAAUAUAUAUAAAUUAUAAAAUGCAAUUCUUUUUUUAAAUUAUUCAAACUAUUACGUUGUUGGUAACGGUGUUACUUUUCUUUUUUAUAAAUGUAAUCACAACGGAAUUAACGUUUAUUUGGUCCCACAAAUGAAAGAAAUAAUGCACAGUACCCACUAUAAAACAUGAAGUUUGUUUUUUAUUCCUGCACUGGCUGUACUAGUUUAAAAAGUAUACACUAAACCUUCAUUAUUCUAGCGCAGGAAAAUACUUAUAUAUAGUGUUUUCGACCAGCCUGGGUUAAUCGCUCCGGCAGCGAUUAAUGACGUCGUAAGACCAAUCACAGCCAUUCUUCUGAAGAAGAAAAUAACUGUGAUUGACCAGUUCUAGAGGAAAAGAAACCGAAACGGGUUAACCCAGCACCGGUCGAAAAUGCCAAUAGUCAAAGGUGUAAGCACACCUGUCCCGCGAACAUCCUGGGAAUAUCUCUGGAAUAUUCAAAUAUCUGUCCACAGGAAUAUCUAUUCAAAUAUGACAUCCAUAGGAGAAGGGUGUGCUGUAUAUUAUACAUAACAAGAAACCCUAUGGAAGUGUGACUCGCCGAACUUAAUGGAACUUUGCAUACUUAUAAUGAUAUGAAAAAUAAUGAACAUGUAUAUUUUUAUAUCGGAAAUUAAUGAUGUACUUUUAAAGGUUGAACACGCUUCUUGUGUGUAUAUACAGAAAGUUCGACCGGGACGAUAGAAUAUUUCGAAGGGAUUAAUACAAAAGAUGUAUUCCACCAUUAUAAUAAUUAUAUAAUAUUAAUUCUACUAUCCCGGUACUUUUCGAACUUUCUAUAUACACACAAAAGUUCGAAAAGUAUCGGGAUGGUAGAAUAAAUAUAAUUAUUAUAAUGAUAUUUUAUGACGUAAUGUAACGUUAUAAAAUAUGUAGUUGUUAAUGUUUUAUAUAAUGUUAUUAUAAAAAAUCUUUGAAUAGAACAUUAACAAUAAUAUUUCUACAUUAUAAUUAUAAUAUUUAGAAAUAUAUUAUGGAGUGAACAAUUCGAAAACAUCUAUAAAAUAUGUCAUAGAAUCAGGGACCCGGACCGAAUCAAAUUAAGAUUCGGUUAUGGUUACGGUUUAAUAAAAAAAUUUGAAAACUAGUUACGAUUUCAGUUUUAGUUCCUUGGCAAAUACAAAAAUCCAAAACCGUUUAAAUUUCGGUUUUUCCGUUUUGUUUCAGUUACGGUUCUGGUUCGUGAUUCUAAUAAUAUUAUUUAAUAAGUAAUUAUGUAAUAGUAAUUAUUAAUAUUUAUAUUUAAUAAUAUUUAAUAGUGUUUAAUAAUAAUUUAUAAAAAAUUAAGUAUGAAAGAAGGAAUUAAUUUGAAUUGUGCUACCAAUAAAUCUAUUGCUUCAAAAAAGAUGAUUGAAUGAGAGAAAUAAAAGAGGAAAAAGCAAAAAACUAGGAGUAGUUAAACAACAAUCCGCGAAGUUGCAAAUAAAUAGCAAUAAGCAAAAUAUGUACAAUUAUGGGUACUUUUAAACCACUGUUUUCUCGUGCUUUCUGCUUGAGGCAUAUAAAAGAAUAACUUAUGUGAUGUUUUAAUUUUAUUGAUAAUUCUUUAUAUCCAGAAUAUAUAUAAAGAAACAUACAAAUAUGUAACAAAAAUAAAAGAUGCAACCAUUUGAGAUAUCUUGUCACACAUUCAAUUGUAAGAUAAUGAUGUAUAAAAUAUAAGAAACGCACUUUUUAUAUACGCUAAUAUACUACUAUUGGUUGCAAAUUUUUCGAGUUUAUAAUUAUAAUUUUUACUCAUCCUUAAAACAAAAAAUAUAGUUAUAUAAUAUAAAACAAACUCUAUGUUAAUUUACCCGAAGAAUUAUCAGUCAAAUAAUCUUUGAAA